UGCUUUACACAUGCGAGUCGAACGGCAGCAACAAAGAGCUUGCUCUUUGGUUGGCGAGUGGCGAACGGGUGAGUAAUGUAUCGGAACGUGCCCAGUAGUGGGGGAUAACUACGCGAAAGCGUAGCUAAUACCGCAUACGCCCUAAGGGGGAAAGCAGGGGAUUCUUAGGAACCUUGCACUAUUGGAGCGGCCGAUAUCGGAUUAGCUAGUUGGUGAGGUAAAGGCUCACCAAGGCGACGAUCCGUAGCUGGUUUGAGAGGACGACCAGCCACACUGGGACUGAGACACGGCCCAGACUCCUACGGGAGGCAGCAGUGGGGAAUUUUGGACAAUGGGCGCAAGCCUGAUCCAGCAAUGCCGCGUGCAGGAAGAAGGCCUUCGGGUUGUAAACUGC
rnacentral:rRNA from 1 species